AGCUGUUACGGUUUUUUUUUUUUAGGGUUCGGUGUUUUACUGUUGAGCUGCUCAGUGCCCAGCUUAGAGGACCAGGAAAAGGAGUCACCGGCCAUAUGCUGGAGGCUUGAGACACGGCACAGCGGCGCAGCUCGCCUCGCUAUGGUUGGUGGUGGCAGUGGAGCUUGCGAUUGCCACGCGGCUGGAGGGUCCUUUAGGUUGUUUGAGGGACAUUCAUCAAGGAAACCGGAGAAACUUAAAAUGCUCUUCCGCUUCUUUGGAACAGUCACAGAGAAAAGUGAACUCCUUUCAUUCUUGCAGUAAUUUUUCUUGCUGAUGGGAACAGUUCAAGUCAAGUGACAUAUUUUGAAAGAACAAAGAGGAACUACAGAAUCAUUGCUUACAUUGACACCGGCCCUGUUGUCCCAAUGGAUGGGUUUUUUUUGGAUGAACGUCAAAAUUGACCCUGCUGUUAAAGCUUGAAACUUGGAUCUGUUGUAUCUGAGUUCUCUCCUCAAAAAAAGACCUUCAGGAAGUAUCAGAUAACUGAAACAUACCAGAUCACAGCACCACAUGCCUCCUGCCCCUCCCUAAUUUCUGUUCUCUUAUACAUUGUUAAAUUUUUUUCCUGCCCCUAUUAGUCAAGCCCAUGGAUUUGAGACUGAGCUCCCAGCUCCUGGGCCGCAGCACCAGGUUAAAGCUUUCUUCCUUGGCAGUACUUGUCACCUCAGUGACUGGCUUUUUCUCCGAUGAGCAGGAGGACCUGGACGAAACCCCUAGUGUUUGGUCAAGGAACUUGAUGCUCCCUAAAUCCAAAUAUUACGGUUAAAAGAAGAGAGAGGAAAUGUGUGCAGAGAAAGUGUAUUUUACAAAUGAAUUAAAGGUGGAUUCUGAGUUACAGGUUUAUAGAUUUACCUAGAGUUUUGAGUUCAGGAAGCCAUCAUUCUUUAGAGGGCAAUGACCAAACAGUACCAGCAGAAAUUGAAGUACCAGCAGAAGGCUAAGAAGGGAUCAUGGCACAAGCUGCAGUUUCCACCCUGCCCAUUGAAGAUGAGGAGUCCAUGGCAGAUGAG
rnacentral:lncRNA from 1 species